rnacentral:rRNA from 1 species
UACGUAGGUGGCAAGCGUUGUCCGGAUUUAUUGGGUUUAAAGGGUGCGUAGGCGGUCCAUUAAGUCAGCAGUGAAAUACGGCAGCUUAGCUGUCGAGGUGCUGUCGAUACUGGUGGACUUGAGUACUGAUGAGGUAGGCGGAAUGGACGGUGUAGCGGUGAAAUGCUUAGAGAUCGUCCAGAACACCGAUAGCGAAGGCAGCUUACUAAAGAGUAACUGACGCUGAGGCACGAAAGUGUGGGGAUCAAACAGG